UACGAAGGGGGCUAGCGUUGUUCGGAAUUACUGGGCGUAAAGGGCGCGUAGGCGGCCGUUUAAGUUAGGUGUGAAAGUCCUGGGCUCAACCUGGGGACUGCACUUAAUACUGGAUGGCUUGAAUUCGGGAGAGGGUAGCGGAAUUCCCAGUGUAGAGGUGAAAUUCGUAGAUAUUGGGAAGAACACCGGUGGCGAAGGCGGCUAUCUGGACCGACAUUGACGCUGAGGCGCGAAAGCCAGGGGAGCAAACGGG
rnacentral:rRNA from 1 species